GCCGGGCAUGGUGGCACAUGCCUGUAAUCCCAGCUACUUGGGAGGUUGAGGCAGGAGAAUUGCUUGAACCCGGGAUGCAGAGGUUGCAGUGAACUGAGAUUGCGCCAUUGCACUCCAGCCUGGGUGACAGAGUGAGACUCCAUCUCAAAAAAAAGAACCACUGGACUUGGCACAAUGGAGAUAUUGCUGACUUUCUUUUUUUCCUUUUUUUUUGAGACAGAGUCUCGCUCUGUCGCCCAGGCUGGAGUGCAGUGGCGUGAUCUCGGUUCACUGCAAGCUCCGCCUCCCAGGUUCACACCAUUCUCCUGCCUCAG
rnacentral:SRP_RNA from 1 species